rnacentral:rRNA from 1 species
UACAGAGGGUGCAAGCGGUGUUCGGAAUUAUUGGGCGUAAAGGGCGCGUAGGCGGUGCCACAAGUCACCUGUGAAAUCUCCGGGCUUAACUCGGAGCCUGCAGGCGAAACUGUGGUGCUGGAGUGUGGGAGAGGUGCGUGGAAUUCCCGGUGUAGCGGUGAAAUGCGUAGAUAUCAGGAGGAACACCGGUGGCGAAGGCGGGUCUCUGGGCCGAUACUGACGCUGAGGAGCGAAAGCGUGGGGAGCGAACAGG